UACGGAGGGGGCAAGCGUUGUUCGGAAUUACUGGGCGUAAAGGGCUCGUAGGCGGCCAACUAAGUCAGACGUGAAAUCCCUCAGCUUAACUGGGGAACUGCGUCUGAUACUGGAUGGCUUGGGUUCGGGAGAGGAAUGCGGAAUUCCAGGUGUAGCGGUGAAAUGCGUAGAUAUCUGGAGGAACACCGGUGGCGAAGGCGGCAUUCUGGACCGAUAUUGACGCUGAGGAGCGAAAGCCAGGGGAGCAAACGGG
rnacentral:rRNA from 1 species